UGCAAAAAUCAAAUUAACCAAAAUCUGAAAUUUUGUUCCUUUGCUUCCUUCCUGUUCGAACCAUUACCCACCACCUUCAACCACCACUUCGUCCGUCACCAAUCACCAACCCACGAACCACCAGCCACCGCGUCGACCGCCCAGAACCGCCCCAAGUCACCACCACCACUUCCCCUGUUUCCUCCCUGUUUCGCACACCUCUGUCUCCCUCUUUCUUCGUCGCUGCUGCACCCCCCCAGGCCACCGCACCACCUUUUAUAACCACCUCAAUCCCCGGCGAUAGGCCGCUGCGCCGCCCCGGGUUCGACCAAGAAACACCCCUCCCGUGCUUUUUCUCUGUUUUGUUCGAACACCCCUUUCCUUUUCCUUGCAGCUCCGCCGCCGCGAAACCACCACCACCGCUGUCGCCUCUCAGCCGUGGUUCCGCAGUGCGCCGCCCAGCCGCCACCCCUGUCUCCCUUCUUCCUCCCCUGCUCCUCCUUCGAGCCCUCCCCUCCCCUGCUCCCGUGUUUCCCUUCCCAGAAAAAGAAAACAAGUUCCAUUUAGGAACUUUGUUUUAUUUAUUUCUCAAGCCAAGCCCAAAUCACUUAGCCCAAUUUUCCCAAUAAAUUGGACUCGGAGUUCAGGAAGAACGAUCCAUCGAACAGGAAGUAUAAACUACGGGAGGUACGAAGAAGAUCAUGGGAUGCCUUAGAGUGAGGAUGCAACCACCAAAUUCACGAUCGAUGUUUAGUAAAGAUAACGAUGUCAUUAGCAAUAAAGGGAUGUAUUAUUUAAAGUCUAAGAUUGAUUUCAUGAUUUGAGUUAGAUUUUAAUAUUAAUGUUUAAUCAGAUGUUAAAAGUAUUUAUUAUUAAAGUUUAUUUAGUAAUUUAAAAAGGUUAUGUCGCCUUGUAUUUCCCACGAGGGAAAUAGGCAUGUGACGCUCCGACUAAAUUAGGGUUUCCGCUGCUAAUUAAAGAUAAUUAACUUAAUUAAUGGUGUUUGGAAGUCGGGGCGUUACAAUGUCAAAGUGGUAGGUGUCAAGCCCUGUGGCAGCCUCACUGCUCCUGCACCGUUAACCAUUCCUUCAGCAGGGAUUGGAAAUUGAUUUUCACUCAUUACGCUGCCGUAACAUUUUAAAAAUCGAUUCCUAAUUUGACAAUUUCAAGCCAAUUCGAUUAUAUCUAACAUUAUAGAUCCAAAAUUUCAAGCCAAUUCAUCCACAAAUUUCUAAUUCCCAUUGAAGAACAAUUUUUUUUUCUUUUGCGGGAGAGGCGUGUCAGGGUAUGCAGGAAAAAUGAAGGUGAAAGAAUUAACAAACCCAAU